GAUAAUAUAGUUAUACAAAUGGCAGUGAAUACAGAAAAAUUGCUUUUGUUGUUCACAACAUUUAGUUGUUAUUUCAUGAUAUGUAAAACUGUUAGCAAUGACUUAGAAGAUAGCUGUAUACAAAUGUACAAGACGAAUGAAAUUAUAUAUAACUUGAGUCCAGUUAAAAGAGACAUUAUUUUUAUGUGUUUUGUUAUUAUUACUAAAUACG